ensembl:snRNA U6 U6 spliceosomal RNA
GUGCUUACUUUGGCAGCACAUAUACUAAAAUUGGAAUGAUGCAGGGUAGAUUAUCAUGGCCUCUGCUCAAGGAUGACAUGCAAAUUUGUGAAGUGUUUCAUAUUUUU